ensembl:lincRNA
AAUUAAAAAUCACAUUAAUUAGCCUGGCAGAUUAAAACUUGGUGGAAGAUUAAAACUGCAGAUGUGAGUACCAUAAGGGAAGUCAGGGAGCCCACAUUUACCUGACAGGAGGAAAAACCCAAGUCUGGGUGAAUUUUUCCAUCUUCACUAUGGGAUUUAGGAAUUCUAUACCAAGCAAGCUAUCAACCAUGAAAGGGAAAGUGAAAGUUUCUCAUUUGUGUCCCACUCUUUGUGACCCCAUUCCAUAUUCUGGUCUGGAAUUCUCCAGAUGAGAAUACUGGAGUGUAUAGCCGUUCCCUUCUUCAGGGGAUCUUCCCAAUCCAGGGAUCAAACUCCCACAUUGAAGGCAGAUUCUUUACUAACUGAGCCACCAGGGAAGCUGUCAACCAUAUAUGAUAAAAAUAGAUAUUUUAAGGUUUAAGGGAAAGAAACCUGCAGCUAAAUUUGAAAUGAUGGACAUCUUGAUCUUGAAAAGAUCUUGCUGUGGUUUGAGAUCCUGUUGGCUGUCUGAAGGGUGAGGUAAGACCAUGGUUAUUCCAUAUUACCUUCUCCUAGAUGUUAUACUGUCAGUAACACACAGGCCCAGGAAAGAAUGUACAGAAGCCCAUUCUUCUGAUUGAGUACCAUGACACCCUUUUUGCAUAACCUCUAGGAAAAGAGGUAUGCAAACCUUUUGUCUUUCAUGGGCAUAUCUUAAAGCUCACCAGUUUGCUACAGUUAAAGGUAAGUGAAGCAGAUUGGAGAGAACUGAGAGGCUGAAGAACAUAUUUGUUUCAACAAGUUUUAUCCAUUCAAGUGUAUUCAUACUUACAUGUACAUUUCACAUCAGAUGGUAUCCAAGUGGAGAGAGACUUGGUGGUACAAGUAUGGGCUAUAAACUUACAGGGGAUUGAAGAGCAGACUAAUUAAAGGCAGUUACUGAAUUUCAAAUGCAAGGUCCCACUUAAAUGUAGGUGGAGGAGGCCACCUCCAUUUAAAUAACAAAGAAGGUAUCAGUGAAACAGAAACAGAAAAACAUUAGGAGAAAUCAGUGGAACCUAAGAUAGUUUGUCCCCCUUGAAUCUUAAAAGCUUUGCUAAGAGAAUGGUGUCACUAAUCAAUAAUGACAGAGCGAGGCACUUCCAAGAAACAGUCUUUCUUAGCAAUAUUUGUUUACCCAGCAGGAAGAGUCUACAGUGAAAUACUUCUUAUUUCAGGGUUAAUUGUCUUUUCCCCCAAAGCCAAUGGGAACUUGAAGAAAAUGUGAAAGCCUAUUGCUGCUGAACUCCAGGAGGGCAAAAAGAAUAAACUCUGCUGGUUGAUUUUUGUAUUGCUUUUGUCUUGGUGAGGGAGAAAUUCCUGGAGCUUGGUCAAAGGAUCAUCCUUGUUUUAUAGUGUAAAGGUGUUUUCUGUAGACUAAUAACAUUUUUGAAAGGCAGGCUUUCACAAAUCUUUUGUUUUAGGGUACUCUGACAUUAUGGUGGUUUGAUAUGAUUUACAUGAAAGUAAAAUAAAUAAAGAGGUAACUUUAAAAAAAAGAUGGUUUGUUAAAAAAAUCAGUAACAUUGAUAUAUUUGAGUACAUUGCAAAGGACUUUAUGGCCUUUAUACACAAAUCUUUUGUAGUAAUUCACACAUCUGUAUUAUUCAUCUUACUAAUUAAGACAAGAUGUAUUAAAAUUGAGAACAUUUUCAAAGAAUAAACUAGAAAUAAUCAUCUAUGGUUCAUAUCUCAGGGCUAUAAUGUUGCUAAAUUUGUUGGGACCUGAGAGAUGGGACGAAGAACAGGUAAGUUUUCACAGGAGGUUCAGAGGAAAUCAAUAUUGAUUCUUGUUGAAGAAUUCUACGUUGUGCUGUAAGAUGAUUCUGAAGGCAUCUCUAGAAUGUUUUCUCCCACUUGGACAUGUGUAUGAAUGUGUUGAGCUCUACUAGUUCUCUCAUCUUUAUUCUUCAUGUACAUUGAAAUUCAAAGGUGUCUAUCUCUCUGUUGUCAGAAAGCAGAUGAUAGAACAACAGAGGAGUAAAGCUACUAUUUAAAGGUGAAAAAUGCUCCAUGUAAAUGAUAGGAUCAUAUAUACACCUGCAUCCGUAUACAGGCAUGUGCAUAUUAAGUCUCCAAAUGACUUAUCUAUGACAUUUCGAUGACGUUUGGCAAAUGAGUUGGUGCCUCCGAAAAAGAUGGGUUAGAGAAAUCCUGCAUUGAAGUGUGAGUAUGUGAUGGCCUUCAUGAAGCUAUUUGGGGGCAAUUGGAAGCCUUCAAGCCCCUGUUUCCUGUAAGGACAUCCUGGAAGUGAACAUGUUUGGAUCUUAGAGUUUCUGUGUAGGAAUGUCUACUCAUCCCAGAGAGUGAGUCCUGAGCUGGAAGAGCAGUCUCAUGGCACCCAAGUGUAGAGCAUGUGUUUCUGCUUGUGAGUACCCUGGACAGUGAAAUGACUGGUGAAAAUUGAUAAAAGACCUUGGGCCUUGGCUCUCACUAUCUUCCCAUCCAACAUACAUUUCUAUCAGGUACUUAUAUCAGAUUUGU